CGAUGAUCCGGUGCUUGCGCCGGGGAUUAGUGGCGAACGGGUGAGUAACACGUGAGUAACCUGCCCUUGACUCUGGGAUAAGCCUGGGAAACUGGGUCUAAUACCGGAUAUGACUCCUCAUCGCAUGGUGGGGGGUGGAAAGCUUUUUGUGGUUUUGGAUGGACUCGCGGCCUAUCAGCUUGUUGGUGGGGUAAUGGCCUACCAAGGCGACGACGGGUAGCCGGCCUGAGAGGGUGACCGGCCACACUGGGACUGAGACACGGCCCAGACUCCUACGGGAGGCAGCAGUGGGGAAUAUUGCACAAUGGGCGAAAGCCUGAUGCAGCGACGCCGCGUGAGGGAUGACGGCCUUCGGGUUGUAAACCUCUUUCAGUAGGGAAGAAGCCCUCUUUGGGGGUGACGGUACUUGCAGAAGAAGCGCCGGCUAACUACGUGCCAGCAGCCGCGGUAAUACGUAGGGCGCAAGCGUUAUCCGGAAUUAUUGGGCGUAAAGAGCUCGUAGGCGGUUUGUCGCGUCUGCUGUGAAAGACCGGGGCUCAACUCCGGUUCUGCAGUGGGUACGGGCAGACUAGAGUGCAGUAGGGGAGACUGGAAUUCCUGGUGUAGCGGUGAAAUGCGCAGAUAUCAGGAGGAACACCGAUGGCGAAGGCAGGUCUCUGGGCUGUAACUGACGCUGAGGAGCGAAAGCAUGGGGAGCGAACAGGAUUAGAUACCCUGGUAGUCCAUGCCGUAAACGUUGGGCACUAGGUGUGGGGGACAUUCCACGUUUUCCGCGCCGUAGCUAACGCAUUAAGUGCCCCGCCUGGGGAGUACGGCCGCAAGGCUAAAACUCAAAGGAAUUGACGGGGGCCCGCACAAGCGGCGGAGCAUGCGGAUUAAUUCGAUGCAACGCGAAGAACCUUACCAAGGCUUGACAUGGACCGGAAAGACCUGGAAACAGGUGCCCCGCUUGCGGCCGGUUUACAGGUGGUGCAUGGUUGUCGUCAGCUCGUGUCGUGAGAUGUUGGGUUAAGUCCCGCAACGAGCGCAACCCUCGUUCUAUGUUGCCAGCGGUUCGGCCGGGGACUCAUAGGANACUGCCGGGGUCAACU
rnacentral:rRNA from 1 species